CUUUCAGCUCCAGUCUCUUCUGGGCUGUUUGUUCUUUUGGCUUUUUAUCAGUUUGGGCCUCUAUGUUGGGCUCAUUAUGGGGGAAAAACUUUGACAAAACCAUUUUCAGUCUCUUACCCGUUUGCUCACGAGUUUUUGUCCAGCUAACAAUCUACAUGAAGGAAAGUUUGGCCUCAGACUAUUUAAAUCCAGAAGAAAAGAAGUGGAUAUUUUUCAGCAUUGAUGAUGUUGCAGUAAAAGAUGGUUGUGUUGGUCAGUGAAUCCUGAAAACAGACGCUGUAUGGCGGUUUCCACACUUCAUGAAGCAGCACAGCCGCUUUCAGCUGUGAUGAUAAGAAGAAGAAAGGUUUCUUGAGCAGCAAAUCAGCAUCUUAGCAGGAUUUCUGAAGGAUCAGUGUUUGUUUGAAAUGAACUCAAGAUAUAAUAUUGUAUGAAUAAAACACAGAUCGCAUCUGUAAAUCUAGAAUAAAAAAAGGAGGAACUAUCAGUCUUGAUUCCAGCAGGAGUGUCUGUAAAAACAGAGUCCAGUUCUGAACAACUGUGUUGUCACGUGAUGUUAGAGUAAAGAUGCGCUGCUCCUUUAAGAGCGACGUGAUGACGUCAUCGGUGUCAGACGGCUACAGUCUGCUGCAUUGAAGAUCGCUGUGCUUUACUGUGCUUUCAUCUCUAGACAUCCGAUACAUUUCUUGUCUUUUAGGAGUUAUCUUUGUUUUACCCUAAACCCAGUCAUCUGUUAAACAAAGUGAACUGGUUAUCUGAGUUAUCCUCUGUCAAUAUAAGGCGCAUUGGGGUGGAAGAACAACUCCAUUUGAGCAAAGCAGAUGUGGGAGAAAUACAUGCAGUUUCUAGACAGAUUAAAGAAUCAAUAAAAACCACUUAAACUAGA